AUACGUAGGGGGCGAGCGUUGUCCGGAAUGAUUGGGCGUAAAGGGCGCGUAGGCGGCGCGGUAAGUCUGGAGUGAAAGUCCUGCUUUCAAGGUGGGAAUUGCUUUGGAUACUGCCGCGCUUGAGUGCAGGAGAGGUUAUCGGAAUUCCCGGUGUAGCGGUGAAAUGCGUAGAGAUCGGGAGGAACACCAGUGGCGAAGGCGGGGAACUGGACUGCAACUGGCGCUGAGGCGCGAAAGUGUGGGGAGCAAACAGGAUUAGAUACCCUGGUAGUCCACACUGUAAACGAUGAAUGCUAGGUGUAAGAGGUAUCGACCCCUUUUGUGCCGGAGUCAACACAAUAAGCAUUCCGCCUGGGGAGUACGGCCGCAAGGUUGAAACUCAAAGGAAUUGACGGGG
rnacentral:rRNA from 1 species